rnacentral:misc_RNA from 1 species
AAGCUACUGGGGGAGCCGAAGCUCCCCCAUAAAUGUUGCUGUGCGUUUUUCUUGUUAUGCAGGCUGUUGUUUUUGUUUUCGCCUGUUCCGGUAUCCAUGCUGUCCGGAAAUCUCCCGAUACCGGGAGCAAGAGCAAACGGAUUGCUUUGGAUGCUGAUGCUACCUCGGGCCCAUGGCCCAACCAGAACGGGUGCUGUCUGCUGACAGUU